UUCGCAAUGCCCGAAAGGGUGACGAAGCGACGCCGCGUGCGGGAAGAAGGCCUUCGGGUUGUAAACCGCUGUCGGGAGUUAAGAAAUGUAAGGAUGUUAAUAGCAUCUUUGCUUGACUAAGGCUCCGGAGGAAGCCACGGCUAACUCUGUGCCAGCAGCCGCGGUAAUACAGAGGCGGCAAGCGUUGUCCGGAAUUAUUGGGCGUAAAGAGCACGUAGGCGGCCUUGUAAGUCAGUUGUGAAAGCCUUCUGCUUAACGGAAGAACAGCAUCUGAUACUGCAAGGCUAGAGUGCGGAAGGGGAGAGUGGAACUUCUGGUGGAGCGGUGAAAUGCGUAGAUAUCAGAAGGAACACCGGCGGCGAAGGCGACUCUCUGGUCCGUAACUGACGCUGAGUGUGCGAAAGCUAGGGGAGCAAACGGGAUUAGAUACCCCGGUAGUCCUAGCCGUAAACGAUGGGCACUAAGUAGAGGGGUUUU
rnacentral:rRNA from 1 species